rnacentral:rRNA from 1 species
UCCCUAUGGGGUGCAGCAGGCGAGAAAACUUUGCAAUGUGCGAAAGCACGACAAGGUUAAUCCGAGUGGUUUCUGCUAAAGGAACCUUUUGUCGGUCCUAGAAACACCGAUGAAUAAGGGGUGGGCAAGUUCUGGUGUCAGCCGCCGCGGUAAUACCAGCUCCCUGAGUGGUAGGGACGAUUAUUUGGCCUAAAGCGUUCGUAGCCGGCUCGGCAAGUCUUUCGUUAAAUCCAGUGGCUUAAUCAUUGGGCUGCGAGAGAUACUACUGGGCUAGAGGGCGGGAGAGGUCGACGGUAUUUCGGGGGUAGGGGUAAAAUCCUAUAAUCCUCGGAGGACCACCAGUGGCGAAGGCGGUCGACUAGAACGCGCCUGACGGUGAUGGACGAAAGCUGGGGGAGCGAACCGGAUUAGAUACCCGGGUAGUCCCAGCCGUAAACGAUGCGGGCUAGGUGUUGGAGUGGCUACGUGCCACUUCAGUGCCGCAGGGAAGCCAUUAAGCCCGCCGCCUGGGGAGUACGGCCGCAAGGCUGAAACUUAAAGGAAUUGGCGGGGGAGCACCACAAGGCGUGAAGCUUGCGGUUCAAUUGGAGUCAACGCCGGAA